rnacentral:rRNA from 1 species
GAUGAACGCUGGCGGCGUGCCUAAUACAUGCAAGUCGAGCGAACGGACGAGAAGCUUGCUUCUCUGAUGUUAGCGGCGGACGGGUGAGUAACACGUGGAUAACCUACCUAUAAGACUGGGAUAACUUCGGGAAACCGGAGCUAAUACCGGAUAAUAUUUUGAACCGCAUGGUUCAAAAGUGAAAGACGGCCUUGCUGUCACUUAUAGAUGGAUCCGCGCUGCAUUGGCUAGUUGGUAAGGUAACGGCUUACCAAGGCAACGAUGCAUAGCCGACCUGAGAGGGUGAGCGGCCACACUGGAACUGAGACACGGUCCCGACUCCUACGGGAGGCAGCAGUAGGGAAUCUUCCGCAAUGGGCGAAAGCCUGACGGAGCAACGCCGCGUGAGUGAUGAAGUUCUUCGGAUCGUAAAACUCUGUUAUUAGGGAAGAACAUAUGUGUAAGUAACUGUGCACAUCUUGACGGUACCUAAUCAGAAAGCCACGGCUAACUACGUG